AGCUCUGUGGUGUAGUGGUAGCACGCGUCCCCGAUAUGGAUAAAACGUGGGUUCGACUCCCGUCUGAGGCUG